UCCCGGCCUUCCCCAGGUCCCCGCCCGCCGCCCGGUGCGCCCCUCAGCCUGCUUCCCGGCAGCGCAGGGCACUGAGCCGGAGAGGGCCGCGCGCGGAGGCGGGGCGGGCUUGGGCGACUGCGGCCGCCAAGGGCCCAGACUGGGGGAGCGGAGGGUAGGCUCUGCCCUGGGCUGGGGGUCCUCGCUACAAGCGCGCCGGAGUCCCACCGGGCCGGAGGGAAUCCCCGGUGAUGCCAGCUCGCUUGUGCGCCGAGCUUUCCACGGUCUUUCCCUGAGCCCUCUUACCCUUCCCCACACCGUCCUGGAAGCAAGCGGUCUUCCCACUUUCCUGCUGAGGAAGGCGAGUUCAGUGAAAUAGGAGGGCCAGAGAUGCUCCGGGAUAGGUGCAGUUCCCGCAGAAGACCGCCGACUGAGCUCCAGCUCCAGUGAUCUGAGCGCCUCUUUGGGUACCACCCAGCAUCCGCCGGCCUGGUGAGAAGGGCGCGCGCACCUUCUCGCCUCCUUCGACGUCUCCCGCUGUUUCCAGAAGCCGAGUUGCAAACCCGUGCAGAGGGCCAGCGGUCUGCGCAGCUCCCUCCACUCCGGGCAGAGUUGACCUACAGAGUGUGUUCAACGAGUCCCUUAAAUGCCCAGUAGUUCCUCCAAAGGAGCAAGUGGACACUGGCCUCCCAUGUGGGAUGUGGUUAUCUUGUUCUAUCUGCAUAAACCCGAGACUGGACAGAUAAACCAAAGGCUGUGACCUUGAGGAAGCCAGUGUCCUCCUGGGGGAUGCUGGUGGGCUAUGAGAGGACCAGCUUCUAAUGGCAGACGUCUCUGUCCAUGUCCUGACAGUUGAUGCCCAGUCCCUUCUGCAUGGAAAAUCUCCCCUGGCUGAAAAGACACUUUCACCCAGGACUCACUCAACUUUGACCUUGAUGCUGUUUGCCCUCUCUGGGUCUCCAGCUCUCAUGCA
rnacentral:lncRNA from 1 species